AAGACGCGCGGCACCUCCGGGGUGAGCGGCGGACGGGUUAAGUAACGCCUUGGGAACGUACCCUUUUCUAAGGAAUAGCCACUGGAAACGGUGAGUAAUACCUUAUACGCCCUUUGGGGGAAAGAUUUAUCGGAGAAGGAUCGGCCCGCGUUAGAUUAGUUAGUUGGGGGGGUAACGGCCUACCAAGACGACGAUCUAUGGCUGGUUUGAAAAGGAUGAUCAGCAACACUGGGGACUGAGACACGGCCCAAACUCCUACGGGGAGGCAGCAGUGGGGAAAUCUUAAAACAAGGGGGGGCAACCCCUGAUCUAGCCCUUGCCGCGUGAGUGAUGAAGGGCCUUAGGGGUUGUAAAGCUCUUU
rnacentral:rRNA from 1 species